AGUGAUGCAUGGGCUGGUUUGUAGAAAGUAAGGGAAGGGCUGCUGUGGAUCCUCUCUGUAUAGCUGGCAGCCUGUUGACUUGAACUUUGUAGGGAGAUCGUUGCUGUUCCUCCUAUCCGCUGAUGCACUCUCUGACUACACAGGAAUGAUUGGGGCUGAUGCUGCUGGAGAAAUGCACUUCACUGAUAUGCCAGGCAACUGGAGGAGCACGUUUUGCCUGGAAGCCUCAAGCCUCUGGGCUGUGGGCCAGAGGUUCUUUCCUAACUGAGCCUGGUCACAAGGGUCAGGAGAAUCAGAUGCUGCAAACAGUUCCUUGCUGUGGAUUGCGGAUCACACUUCGUGGGAGGCACCAGAGGUUCUUGUUUCAACACCAGUGUUCUUAAACAGAAGAAACCUCCGAGACUCCAAAAUUCCAAGUGCCCCUUCCAUCACAGUGAGGACAUCUGGGAAAGAGAAAGUGGCCUUCACCAAGCAUGGCGUCGUUUAGUGCCUGGCAUUCAUUUGGACUCAGCAGCCCCAGAAUGGAGAGAGCUGUUUACUGUUCAUAAGCCAGCCAUUUUAGGGUGCUUUAG